GAUGAACGCUGGCGGCGUGCCUAAUACAUGCGAGUCGAGCGAACAGACGAGGAGCUUGCUCCUCUGACGUUAGCGGCGGACGGGUGAGUAACACGUGGAUAACCUACCUAUAAGACUGGGAUAACUUCGGGAAACCGGAGCUAAUACCGGAUAAUAUAUUGAACCGCAUGGUUCAAUAGUGAAAGACGGUUUUGCUGUCCCUUAUAGAUGGAUCCGCGCCGCAUUAGCUAGUUGGUAAGGUAACGGCUUACCAAGGCGACGAUGCGUAGCCGACCUGAGAGGGUGAUCGGCCACACUGGAACUGAGACACGGUCCAGACUCCUACGGGAGGCAGCAGUAGGGAAUCUUCCGCAAUGGGCGAAAGCCUGACGGAGCAACGCCGCGUGAGUGAUGAAGGUCUUCGGAUCGUAAAACUCUGUUAUUAGGGAAGAACAAAUGUGUAAGUAACUAUGCACGUCUUGACGGUACCUAAUCAGAAAGCCACGGCUAACUACGUG
rnacentral:rRNA from 1 species